rnacentral:pre_miRNA from 1 species
UUUCUGACCACCACCGGCCUCUUCCUUCCCAUCAGUGUUAGAGGCCAAUGGCAGUCAGAAAUG